CUCACUCUUGCCUGCCUCCACGUAAGGUGUGACUUGCUCCUCCUUGCCUUCCACCGUGAUUGUGAGGCCUCCCCAGCCAUGUGGAACUUGUGGGAUCAGCUGACAUCUGGCUUUGAUGGGAGGAAAGGAGGAGAAACAGAAACAGAAAAGAGAAGCCUGGGAAAAAGGAGGCAACCGCGAUCUCCUUCUGCCUUGGCUGGAAGUGACCUCCAGAUUUGGAAUGCCAGCCAGGCCUGGGCUAGUGCCUGCAAGUCCUGGCUGCUGGCUGCUUUCUUGCUUUUCCUUUCCACCGAGAGAGGAAGAGCUCUUCGGCUGAGGGAAAGGAGCAGGUUGGAUAGCAAGAGCUGGUAUACAAACAUCUCCAACCAAGGAUCAGUGCAUGUGUAGGAAGACAGCAUCAGGAGAAGACACCACAGGAAAUAGCUUCAACGCUUGGGAUUUGGAGUCCCCAUACCUGGGUUCAAGUCCUGGCUCAGACACUUCCAGACCGUGUCAUACUGAGACUCUGUUUUUUUUCUUUGUCUGCAGAAUGGGUAUACAAAUAAUUCCUGUUUCCUACCAUUGAGGCAAGGAGCAAAUGCAAUGUGUAGAGAAAGGUCUUUAAGAAAAGCUAUAAAAAGAUUGGCUGGCCUCAUGGGAGGUAACACAGAACAAGAACACAGUUCACGAUUGCAUUACUGGUUUUUGUAAUUCCAGCAUAAUGGGUGCUAUACCAUUUUUAAGUAUAAAAGUACCGGUAUUAUUGUCGGUGCAAAAUACUGUUAUUUUUAUAAUAGUAAAAUAAUAGGAUUUAACUGUUAUAAUUUAUGUUAUCCUAUACUAUUACCUACUAGUAUAAUGUUUAUAUAAUAUAGAUACAAUUUAAAGUACAUUACUGUUAUAUUCUAAUAAAUGCUGAAUACUAUUAUUUCUAAAGUAUUAAAAUGUGAAAUCUGAAUGAUUUCACGUCUGGAGACAUACUGGGAGAAAUAUGCUGCGUUAAACUUCUAAUCAAGCAAAGAUAUAUUAUUUAGAAAGCAUUUUGAUCAUAACCUUCUUCCAUUUAAAACUCUCCAAAGCAUCUUGUUUUUAUUUUUAUUUCCAUUUCCCACCGUCAGUGAUGAAGUUGGACAUUAUUAUGUAUGUUUAUUAGUGAUUUAUAUUUUCUCCAGAGCUGGCUUAGAUCCGCAUCUACCACCAGGGGGUUCUGAUGGCGUUUUCAUAGAACUGUGGCCUGAGAUAUAAUAUGGGGAGGAGUGGCAGGAUGAGGCAGUGUGGUACGGGAUUGGGGAACAAGAGGGGAAGAAGGGUCCCCUCCAUUCUUCUGAAACGUGCCCACCUCCUUGUCCUCCUCACUCCUGAGUUGGACUUCUUCAGCUCUUCUCCCCUUAAUCUCUACCAGGUACCAAGUCAUUCUCUCAGGGACUAGGACAAAGGACUCUUAGCUGUAGUGGAACUGGCUUUCUUACCAUGAAACAGCAUCUGAGGAUAAACUGUAGAAGAAUUGUAAUUCAACCUUUCAUUCUUACAAAACAGUGGUAUUCAAUAAAAGUGGAUUUAAUUUGCUA